rnacentral:lncRNA from 1 species
AGGGCCGCUGUCAGAGGGCUUAGACAGGGACUAGGGAGGAAAUUCCCUCUGCGCCAACGGAGGAAGCUCACCCAUCCUGGAGGGAAAAUGGCAGGAUCCGCCCCAGGAACUUUAUAGCUGGUGGUUAAGAUCCCCAUGCAAACAAGCAGGAGGGAGAAUGAGGGAGGUUGUCAGGAAGAGAGAAGGAAAGCCGGGCAGAGGGUGGUGAGUGGGAAGGAGCCCCAAGCCAGGCUCAGGAGGGCCAGGGCAUUGAGAGAUCCGUCUGCAAGCUGGAUUCCGCAGGGCAUUUGGUCUUGCAGGAGGUGGGCACGUGACCCAGGCCAAUCAGCGAGCCAAUAGAGAGCCCCCUUGCCCUGGUGGCGCUGUGGGGAGGAGUCUCCAGCCUGCUCCCCGGCCCUACGCUGGAAGGUGGUGUUGCUGGCAGCCCUUCUCCAAUCCGCAUUGAGAACGCACGUGCAAUGAUAGAACUGGACGACCCAGUUUGAGGGAGCCCUGGGGUCCUGGAUACACUUGUGCCCAGUGCACCUCAUCCUUUCCUGCACUCUAAGAGGUUAUUCAUGCCAGGAGGAGCUGCUGGUGUUUUAGCAAACUAGCACGUCUCACCUGAAGCUUGUAAAGCGCUAGACGGAAUCGUAACUGUGAUAAUAAGGGCAGGCACUGAUGCGGCUGCAAGGAACCAGCUUUUCCUAGUACAGUACCUGCUACAAAGUCAAAGCAAUGACCUUGGAAAAGUUGCUCAGUGAUACUGAACCUUGGUUUCCAGUUUGGUACUGAGGUCCAAUGUGCUUCUGCGCCACCUGUCAAUUCUCUUUCCCUUGCCCCUGAUGGAAAACUAGUUCAUUCCUGGCUUCGGUAAAAAGGUACUGACUGGCCCAUGUUAUUGAAAAGAGCUAAGGCUUCAGGAAUGGCUGGAUCUAGAUACUUGAAUGUGGCAUCAGGAAUCCCUUUGAGGCAAGCCCCUGGUCCUGCGCCUGCGCCGCCCGCAUCCGCGUGGCCGGCGGCUUCCACAUUCCGUGCCCUCUCCCGGCCCCAGACGCGUCUCGGAGGGGGCGCCUGUAGAUGGGAGCAGCGUCUCCCAUGAACAUCCCCCAGCUGGCCCCUGCUCGGGAGCCGCCCCUGCCCCGAGGCUGCCAAGGGCCAGCCCUGAGCAGGUAGCGCCAAGGACCCGGAAGCUCACUGUUUGGGUGUAAAUUCAAAUCGGCGGCAUAUGCGCAUCGAGGGACAUGGAAGGACUGACCAACAGGGACCUGCUGUAGCGCCCAGAGAACUCUACCCCGGAUUCCGCGAUGGUCUAUGUGGGGAAAGAAUCUGAAAGAGAAUGCACGUGUGUACAUGUUAUAACCGAAUCGCUGUCGUGCAGCAGAAAUGAUGAGGGCAUCCUCAAUCACCUCUACUUCAAUAAAACAAUAAAAAAUAAAUUAACUCUUAGAAGUUCUCAGACCAAAAGAUAAAUAAAUCAAGAAGGAAUCAACAAGAUAUACUCUAUCAUUUAGCUAUGGCUGAGUAGCAAACCACACCAAAACUUAGCACUGUUGGAGUUCCCACUGUGGCUUAGCAGGUUAAGAACCCGACUCGUAUCCAUGAGGAUCCCUGGCCUCAUUCAGUGGAUUAAGGAUCUACUCUUGCCAAGAGCGGUAGGUAGCAUAGGUUGCAAUGGCAUAGACUGGCAGCUGCAGCGUGGAUUGGACCUCUAGCCUGGGAACAUCCUGUCGCAAGUGUCCCCCCCCCAAAAAAAAAAAAAAACACUUGGCAGUGUUAAAUAAUAAUCAUGUAUUAUUCUCACGUUGCUAUGGGUUAUCAUCAUGGUUCUGCUCAUACAAGCUUGACUUGGUUGACCUACACUGCCAAAUUAAAGAUCUUUACUAAGACUGAAAAAAAAAAAAAAAA